rnacentral:rRNA from 1 species
CGGACGGGUGAGUAACACGUGAGCAACCUGCCUUUCAGAGGGGGACAACAGUUGGAAACGACUGCUAAUACCGCAUAAAAUAACGGAACCGCAUGAUUCUGUUAUCAAAGGAGAAAUCCGCUGAAAGAUGGGCGUCGCGUCUGAUUAGAUAGUUGGUGAGGUAACGGCCCACCAAGUCGACGAUCAGUAGCCGGACUGAGAGGUUGAACGGCCACAUUGGGACUGAGACACGGCCCAGACUCCUACGGGAGGCAGCAG